UCGUUGUAGCAAUACGAUGGAAAGUCUAGUGGCGAACGGGUGCUUAACACGUGGGCAACCUGCCAGGAAGUGGGGGAUAGCUCGCCGAAAGGCGAAUUAAUACCGCAUGUGAUUAGAGAGGACAUCCUUUCGAAAUUAAAGUCGGGGCAACCUGACGCUUCUUGUGGGGCCCGCGGCCUAUCAGCUAGUUGGUGGGGUAAAGGCUCACCAAGGCUUUGACGGGUAGCUGGUCUGAGAGGACGACCAGCCACACUGGGACUGAGACACGGCCCAGACACCUACGGGUGGCAGCAGUCGAGAAUUUUUGACAAUGGGGGAAACCCUGAUCGAGCGACGCCGCGUGGAGGAUGAAGGUCUUCGGAUUGUAAACUCCUGUCAUUGGGGAACAAGGUGCAUACGUUAACUGCGUGCGCAUUGAUAGUACCCGAAGAGGAAGAGACGGCUAACUCUGUGCCAGCAGCCGCGGUAAUACAGAGGUCUCAAGCGUUGUUCGGAUUCAUUGGGCGUAAAGGGUGCGUAGGCGGCGCGGUAAGUCGGGUGUGAAAUCUCGGAGCUUAACUCCGAAACUGCAUUCGAUACUGCCGUGCUUGAGGACUGGAGAGGAGACUGGAAUUCUCGGUGUAGCA
rnacentral:rRNA from 1 species